CUGCAAGUACAUAAAAUCCCACACUGAAAUUAAUUGAAACACAAAAUUCUUUGCAGAUAUUUGUAUGCUUUAACAAAAUCUAGUCUUCUGUUUCAGGAAGAGAGAGAGCUGAGAGCAAAGAUUCUGGGAAUCCAAGAGAAUUCCAGCAUUUCAAAUACAUGUUUCAAACACCCUAAUGGUGGGUUCAGACAGGAGGGAAAAAAAGAGGGUAGAACCAAGAGGCAGCAGAAAAGUGACUUUUGAAAAGACUGAAAUAAACUCUAUAUAUUCAGAAAAUACAA